rnacentral:rRNA from 1 species
UGCGUAGGAGGCUUGUUAAGUCGGUUGUGAAAUCCCCGGGCUCAACCUGGGAACUGCAGUCGAUACUGGCAGGCUAGAGUUCGGUAGAGGGUGGUGGAAUUUCCGGUGUAGCGGUGAAAUGCGUAGAGAUCGGAAGGAACACCAAUGGCGAAGGCAACCACCUGGGCCUGAACUGACUCUGAGGCACGAAAGCGUGGGGAGCAAACA